GACAAACGCUGGCGGCGUGCCUAACACAUGCAAGUCGAGCGGGGCCGAGAGGCGGCUUGCCGCGGAUCGGCCUAGCGGCGGACGGGUGAGUAACGCGUGGGCAACCUGCCUCGAGGUAUGGGAUAACAGUUCGAAAGGGCUGCUAAUACCGUAUAUGGUCGUCAGGCCGCAUGGCAUGGCGACUAAAGGGGAGACUCGCCUCGAGAUGGGCCCGCGUCCCAUUAGCUAGUUGGCGAGGUAACGGCUCACCAAGGCGACGAUGGGUAGCCGGCCUGAGAGGGUGGCCGGCCACACUGGAACUGAGACACGGUCCAGACUCCUACGGGGGGCAGCAGUGGGGGAUCUUCCACAAUGGGCGAAAGCCUGAUGGAGCGACGCCGCGUGAGCGAAGAAGGCCUUCGGGUUGUAAAGCUCUGUCUAGAGGGACGAAGGACGUGACGGUACCUCUGGAGGAAGCCACGGCUAACUACGUGCCAGCAGCCGCGGUAAUACGUAGGUGGCGAGCGUUGUCCGGAAUUACUGGGCGUAAAGGGCGCGCAGGCGGCUCGUUAAGUUGGGCGUGAAAUCCCCUGGCUCAACUGGGGGAGGCCGUCCAAUACUGGGGGGCUUGAGUGCAGGAGAGGGAAGUGGAAUUCCCGGUGUAGCGGUGAAAUGCGUAGAUAUCGGGAAGAACACCAGUGGCGAAAGCGGCUUCCUGGACUGUAACUGAUGCUGAGGCGCGAAAGCUGGGGGAGCGAACA
rnacentral:rRNA from 1 species